GUUCCCGUAGCUCAGCGGGAGAGCGACCGGUAGUUCACCGGGAGGCCACAGGUUUAAACCCUGUCGGAACCG
rnacentral:tRNA from 1 species